ACGAAACACACGAGCUUUUAAGCUAGAUCUCUGCACAGUUGGCCGAUGUGUCAAUAGUAUAAAUGCGAAUAUUGACAAUAUAAGAUUUCCCACGCAGCCUCAGAGUUUGCUGCAGAUGAAACGGGACUUUUACAGAAAGUGUUCGCUGCCAAAUAUUGUGGGCGCGAUUGAUGGCACUUUGGUGCCAAAAGUGGCACCAUCAGAGAACGAAGAGGUCUUCGUUUGCCAAAAAGGGUUUCAUGCUCUUAAUUGUCAGGCGGUCUCCUUACCAGACUUGAAGAUUAUCUUGAACACCAUGAAGGGAUGAUCCUGCUUGGGGACAGUGGGUAUGUCCUCAAGAGGUACCUAUUGACAACCAUCGCAGUUCCUCGCAAUGAGCGAGAACAGCAAUACAACAGACGUCUUCGGCAAGGUCGUUUGUGUAUUGAGCAGAUGUCUUCACAAGACUUGUGGCAUUCUACACCACACAAAUGUGCCAGCAUGUUCAUGGCCUGUUGUCGGUUGCACAACCUGUGCAUGCAAAACGGACUACCAGAACCAACAGCAAUUGAUGAAGAAGAGGACCAUGAUCUGGCAGUGGCUGCGCCUAACAACAACGUAGGUGGUGUGGCAGUCCGAAAUCAAUUUGUUCAAAUACGUUGAUUGAUUGGACAAUGGUUCAUAUGUGAGUGAUAUCUAGGCAUAGGUCACUUACAGCUUUCUGUAUGGCCUGGAAAUCUCCCACAUAUGAACCAUGUCUAAUUUAUAAAUAUUUGUCAUUUUUGUGUGUGUUAAUUUGUGGAUUGAUUGGACACUGGUUCAUAUGUGAGAGAAAUCUAGGCAUAGGUCACUUACAGCUUGCUGUAUGGCCUGGAUAUCUCUCAGAUAUGGACCAUGUGUCAUAUAAUAUAUUUGCUAUUUUGUACAUAUUUUUUCUGAAGCUACAUAUAAUGUGUACAUUGAUUUUAGACUGUGGUUCGUAUGUGAGAGAUAUCCAGGCAUAGGUCACUUACAGCUUGCUGUAUGGCCUGGAUAUCUCCCACAUACGGACCAUGUCUCAUAUAAUAUAUUUGUUAUUUUGUACAUAUUUUUUCUGAAGCCACAUAUAAUGUGUACAUUGAUUUUAGAAUGUGGUUUGUAUGUGAGAGAUAUCCAGGCAUAGGUCACUUACAGCUUGCUGUAUGGCCUGGAUAUCUCCCACGUAUGAAACCUGUCUCAUUUAUAAAUAUUUGUUGUUUUUUUAACAUUAUAUUUUUCUUAUUAGCCACAUAUAAUGUUUACAUUGAUUUUAGACUGUGGUUCAUAUGUGAAAGAUAUCUAGGCAUAGGUCACUUACAGCUUGCUGUAUGGCCUGGAUAUCUCCCACAUAUGAACCAUGUCUCAUUUAUAAAUAUGUGUCAUUUUUGUGUGUGCUAAUUUAUGGAUUGAUUGGACACUGGUUCAUAUGUGAGAGAGAAUGUAUGUAUGCUUGCUGUAUGGCCUGGAUAUCUCUCACAUAUUGACCAAAGUAUCGUAUCUGCUUACAUUUCAGUGGCUCGUUGUAAUUUUGUUUAUUAUUGUAACAGUUGUCAUUGUUAUAUAUUAAGUCAGUCUUUAUUUUGUUGGUCCUGUGAUGUAAAUGUCAGAGAUACCAUGGUUAGAAAUCUUGUUGGCCUGGAACCUCCAUAGAGAUUUCUGCCUUGAUAACUCUUGACAUAUACUUUACAAACUUUGAAAUCAACUGACUUUAAGUAAAUUGUCAAAACUUAAAAAUGUUAAUCAUUUGUAUAUCUUGAAACUUUAACAUCAACAAAAAAUUAAAUCAUGUAUUAUUUUUGCAAGUUAGACAUCACCCAUGAAUAGAAUCAUUAUGUAGAAAAUAGUACCUGUUCUUUUUAAUAAAGCUGUGUUGUUUUUA